rnacentral:rRNA from 1 species
GACGAACGCUGGCGGCGUGCUUAACACAUGCAAGUCGAACGGAAAGGCCCUGCUUGUGUGGGGUGCUCGAGUGGCGAACGGGUGAGUAACACGUGUGUAACCUGCCCUUGACUUUGGGAUAACUUAAGGAAACUGGGGCUAAUACCGGAUAGGAUCUCCUGUUGCAUGGAGGGGGUGGGAAAGUUUCGGCGUUUGGGGAUGGACUGGCGGCUUAUCAGCUUGUUGGUCGGCGAGUGGCUUACCAAGGCUUUGACGGGUAGGCGGCAUGAGAGGGUGAACGGCCACCUUGGGCCUAAGAUACGGACCAGACUCCUAUGGGAGGCAGCAGUGGCGAAUCUUGCACAAUGAGAGGAAGCCUGAUGAAGCAACGCUGCGUGCGGGAUGACGGCCUUCUGGUUAAAAACCGCUUUCGCCUGUGACGCAGCGGGAGUGACGGUAAUGGAUAAAGAAGCACCGGCUAACUACGUG